GCCUCCCGGAUAGCUCAGUUGGUAGAGCACGAGACUCUUAACCUCAGCGCCAUGGGUUCGAGCUCCACAUUGGGCA